UACGUAGGGGGCAAGCGUUGUCCGGAAUCAUUGGGCGUAAAGCGCGUGUAGGCGGCUCGGUAAGUCUGCUGUGAAAGUUCAGGGCUCAACCCUGAAAUGCCGGUGGAAACUGUCGAGCUAGAGUCCGGAAGAGGCGAGUGGAAUUCCUGGUGUAGCGGUGAAAUGCGCAGAUAUCAGGAGGAACACCAAUGGCGAAGGCAGCUCGCUGGGACGGUACUGACGCUGAGACGCGAAAGCGUGGGGAGCAAACAGG
rnacentral:rRNA from 1 species